AGGCGGAGCAGAAGUCUAGACGGAGAACGACCAAUCAGAAGACGGAGGAGGAGGUCCCGUUCACGUGGCAAUACCAGUAGCGGCAGUGAAUCAGAGAAGACUGCAAAUAAUGCAGAGUCCAGACAGACAAAGAGCCGGAGUCACCAUAGCAACCAGGGUCCUGAGUGUAGAUCUCGUCCUCGCACCCAAUCG